CCUACGGGAGGCAGCAGUGAGGAAUAUUGGUCAAUGGACGCAGGUCUGAACCAGCCAAGCCGCGUGCAGGAAGACGGCUCUAUGGAUUGUAAACUUCUUUUGUCCGGGGGUAAACGCAGAUACGCGUAUCUUUCUGCAAGUAUCUUACGAAUAAGGAUCGGCUAACUCCGUGCCAGCAGCCGCGGUAAUACGGAGGAUUCAAGCGUUAUCCGGAUUUAUUGGGUUUAAAGGGUGCGUAGGCGGGAUGUUAAGUCAGAGGUAAAAUUCCGGGGCUCAACUUCGGAAUUGCCUUUGAUACUGGUCGGCUAGAGAGUAGUUGCGGUAGGCGGAAUGCAUGGUGUAGCGGUGAAAUGCUUAGAGAUCAUACAGAACACCGAUUGCGAAGGCAGCAUACCAAGCUACUUCUGACGUUGAGGCACGAAAGCGUGGGGAGCAAACAGGAUUAGAUACCCCAGUAGUC
rnacentral:rRNA from 1 species